rnacentral:rRNA from 1 species
AGUAAAGCCAUAUCUCCCUGCAGUUCUCACCGACGCUGAGCGGGGUUAAGCCUGGACAGUACCUGGAUGGGAGACCUCCUGACGAAAACUAAGUCGCUAUUG